rnacentral:rRNA from 1 species
UACGUAGGGUGCAAGCGUUAAUCGGAAUUACUGGGCGUAAAGCGUGCGUAGACGGUAGCGUAAGUCAGAUGUGAAAGCCCCGGGCUCAACCUGGGAAUGGCAUUUGAGACUGCUCUGCUCGGGUGCGGAAGAGGGAAGCGGAAUUUCCGGUGUAGCGGUGAAAUGCGUAGAUAUCGGAAGGAACACCAGUGGCGAAAGCGGCUUCCUGGUCCGACACCGACGUUCAGGCACGAAAGCGUGGGGAGCAAACAGG